GUGGCGUGCCUUUUGAAGAAUGAGCCUGCGAGUUAGUGAUACGUGGCGAGGUUAACCCGUGUGGGGAAGCCGUAGCGAAAGCGAGUCUGAAUAGGGCGAUUGAGUCGCGUGUCCUAGACCCGAAGCGGAGUGAUCUACCCAUGGCCAGGUUGAAGCGACGGUAAGACGUCGUGGAGGACCGAACCCACUUCAGUUGAAAAUGGAGGGGAUGAGCUGUGGGUAGGGGUGAAAGGCCAAUCAAACUCCGUGAUAGCUGGUUCUCCCCGAAAUGCAUUUAGGUGCAGCGUCACGUGUUUCUUGCCGGAGGUAGAGCUACUGGAUGGCCGAUGGGCCCCAC
rnacentral:rRNA from 1 species